UUUUCCUGGGAUUAUUUCUACUACUUCAGCAAGCUCAGUAGAGUUACUGGAUGCUCAGAAGGACUUUUUGGUCUGGACUUUACAAACCUUGGACCCUGUUCAACACAUGAUGACUGAAGGAAACAGCAGAGCUGGAGGCUUGUGUUGAGUGGGUGACGUAUGAAAGGAGACUGAGGCAGUGAGUUAGGAUGAAGCACAAAUAACAAAUAAAAGGGAAGCA